rnacentral:rRNA from 1 species
GACGUAGGGCGCAAGCGUUUGUCCGGAUUUAUUGGGCGUAAAGAGCUCGUAGGCGGCCUGUCGCGUCGACUGUGAAAACCACGACUCAACCGUGGGACUGCAGUCGAUACGGGCAGGCUAGAGUUCGGUAGGGGAGACUGGAAUUCCUGGUGUAGCGGUGGAAUGCGCAGAUAUCAGGAGGAACACCGGUGGCGAAGGCGGGUCUCUGGGCCGUAACUGACGCUGAGGAGCGAAAGCGUGGGGAGCAAACAGG